CACAUCUCCACACUUCAUCCAGACUCAUUCCACAUGAGAAGACUACAUUUAAAAAUAAUAAUUCAUUCCAAAAAAAAAAAAAAAGAAGAAAUAAAAAUACAAAUAACAAUAUAUUACCAUUGUUAUAUAUAUGACGUUUAAAAUAUGUGACUAGUUCAUUGAGGUUGAUGUUUAGCCUAUAAUAAUAAUUAUUGUCGGGGAUAGGUUACAUUACAAUGAAACCAUUUUAAUUCACAUUAUUAUUAACUGCGGGUAAUUUGAAGGUAAACCUUUGGCGAAAAUAUUCCGCAAAUAAAUUCUAUCUAAGAUUAAAAUGAAAGGUUUUAAACAAAACAAAACAAAACAAAACAAAACAAACAAACAAACAAACAAAAAUCCCCACAAAUCUAUAACCUUUGUACUUAUUCUCAUCUGGCUGGUGAAAAUGAGUUUUGGUGACGUGCGUAAAAUCACACUUAACUUCCAGCAUCCGGUUUUAUAUAGCUCUGUGGCCGCCUUAAAGGGAAAAAAAAGAAGAAGAAGAAAAAAAAAAAAGAAAAAAGAGAAAGAAAAUAAAUGUUAAAUGUAAGUGAUGCAAUAUUAAUCACGGGCGCUGAUAUAAAAUGCAAUAUUUCAAGGAGCUGAAGGGCUUUUAUUCGGAGCAGAGCAGCAGCGCCGGAGAGCAAAGAAACCGACAGGAAAGAAGGAGAGAAAAAGGAAAAAUAAAGACGCGGUUAUUGUUCGCGUUUGGCUUUCGGCGACGUGAAAAAAGGAGCUGCAGUGUGAGAGUUCAUUAGCUGUCACUCAUACCACCAUGAAAAAACCCCAGAAAUGUUCCGGUAGAAGUCGUGGGAGGAUUACUGGAGGACAAUGCAGGACAGCCACGUUUACCAUUUACAUCUGGUCAACAUAACGUUCGUUGCCUCUGAGCCCCCGGUGUCGAGUGUCAUGCUGACACGGAGAGAGAAGAUGAUUAAAGCUCAUUAAAGGUGAACUCCAGGAAUCGGAGGUCUGACGCACGAUGAAUCCUAAUCUGUCUCUCAAAUCGCACACUUCUGUACUCUUCUAUUUACGCACUCUUUGACAUGAUGUUUUAGUGUAAAAAAAAAUAAUAAUAAAAAAAAAAAAGUUGUGUGUGUUCAUGCUGAGAAACCUUCUUCUAUUAAAAUACACAGAUGGAAUGACAGGAAUGUUGAAGUUCAACUGGUCGUUACUUCAGCUGACCAAUCAGCAGUCUGUCUGUCCGUCUCUCUAUACAUCCAUCCUUCUUUCGCUGCUUGGUGUCACCAAAUCGAGUCGUGUCAGCUUUAAUUCUAGAGCACAGACAAAUAAAGCUUUGAUAGUCUUUCUUUCUUGACCAUGUCUAUUACAUUAUGAACUCGUUCCUCUGUUGUUUAUGCAUAAAUGUAAUUAAAUAGAUAUGAUGCAGAGUUACUGUUACCAUCCAGAAGUUGAUUAUUUACCUAUAACAGCGUGUCCGGUAGUGUUUUAUUCCUCUAAUGCCAUAGCAACAUCCCAACUAUUGAGUGUUGUGAAAUGUCCACAGACCUUUUUUGCUCCUGUUCUUACUUACAUUAUCGCCGCUAUAAACGGAAAUUCCCUCACCACCUGGCUUUUAUCUCUCUCUUGAAGUUAAUAAGACAAAAACAAAACAAAACACUGCUUUAAAACCAUCAACUGCAAUGUCCUGAAGACUUUCCUGUGUCUGAAAACCUAAAGAUUCAGCUCUACCUCUGACUGUCACACAAGGACUGACACUAUUUCCCCAUAAAUGUUACCUAAAUGUCCC
ensembl:lncRNA